UCGAGGAUCUUCCGCAAUGGGCGCAAGCCUGACGGAGCGACGCCGCGUGUGGGAUGAAGGCCUUCGGGUUGUAAACCACUGUCACUCGUUAAGAAAGGGUCCGGUGUUAACAGCAUCGGGAACUGACAAAGGCGAGAGAGGAAGCCACGGCUAACUUCGUGCCAGCAGCCGCGGUAAGACGAAGGUGGCGAGCGUUGUUCGGAAUCACUGGGCAUAAAGCGCACGUAGGCGGCGGCGUAAGUUGGAUGUGAAAUCCCUCGGCCUAACCGAGGAACUGCGUCCAGUACUGCGUUGCUUGAGGAUCCAAGGGGUGCAUGGAAUUCCCGGUGGAGCGGUGAAAUGCGUUGAUAUCGGGAGGAACUCCGGCGGCGAAAGCGGUGCACUGGUGGAUUUCUGACGCUGAGGUGCGAAAGCCAGGGGAGCAAACGGGAUUAGAUACCCCCGUAGUCC
rnacentral:rRNA from 1 species